rnacentral:tRNA from 1 species
AUUAUAUUGACAGAGAAGUGUAAUGAAUUUAGAAUUCAUGAAUGUGUAUAAAUUAAUACAUAUAUAAUA